UACGAAGGGUGCAAGCGUUAAUCGGAAUUACUGGGCGUAAAGGGUGCGUAGGCGGUUGUUUAAGUCUGUUGUGAAAUCCCCGGGCUCAACCUGGGAAUGGCAAUGGAUACUGGCGAGCUAGAGUGUGUCAGAGGAUGGUGGAAUUCCCGGUGUAGCGGUGAAAUGCGUAGAGAUCGGGAGGAACAUCAGUGGCGAAGGCGGCCAUCUGGGACAACACUGACGCUCAGGCACGAAAGCGUGGGGAGCAAACAGG
rnacentral:rRNA from 1 species